rnacentral:rRNA from 1 species
UACGUAGGGGGCAAGCGUUGUCCGGAUUUAUUGGGCGUAAAGCGCGUUCAGGCGGUUUGGCAAGUCGGGCAUGAAAUCUCUCGGCUCAACCGGGAGAGGUUGUCCGAUACUGCUGGACUUGAGGGCAGUAGAGGGUGGUGGAAUUCCGGGUGUAGUGGUGAAAUGCGUAGAUAUCCGGAGGAACACCAGUGGCGAAAGCGGCCACCUGGACUGUACCUGACGCUAACACGCGAAAGCUAGGGGAGCGAACGGG